rnacentral:tRNA from 2 species
GCGCUCAUAGUGAAAUGGAUAUCAUUCUUGACUUCGGAUCAAGCGUUCUGGGUUCGAGUCCUGGUGGGCGCA